AUCGACGACUCAGCUGCACCAUAAGCACCCACACGAAUUGCUUGAUUCAUUGAAGAAGACGAUUAGAAGCAGCGCCCGAGUUCGGGUCUGUAGCUCAGUUGGUUAGAGCGCACCCCUGAUAAGGGUGAGGUCGGCAGUUCGAAUCUGCCCAGACCCACCAAUUUUGUGUGGGAAACGCCUGUAGAAAUACGGGGCCAUAGCUCAGCUGGGAGAGCGCCUGCCUUGCACGCAGGAGGUCAGCGGUUCGAUCCCGCUUGGCUCCACCACUUACUGCUUCUGUUUGAAAGCUUAGAAAUGAGCAUUCCACCCUGCAAGACAAGGGGUGCCUGAAUGUUGAUUUCUAGUCUUUGAUUAGAUCGUUCUUUAAAAAUUUGGGUAUGUGAUAGAAAGAAAUAUAGACCGGGCACCUCUUUCACUGGUGCGUGUCCGGGCUAAGGUAAAGUUUGUGAAAUGCAAACUUUCGGCGAAUGUCGUCUUCACAGUAUAACCAGAUUGCUUGGGGUUAUAU
rnacentral:tRNA from 1 species